rnacentral:misc_RNA from 1 species
UUUCCGUAGGUGAACCUGCGGAAGGAUCAUUCAUAAUAAAGUGUUUUAUGGCACUUUUUAAAAAUCCAUAUCCACCUUGUGUGCAAUGUUAGAUCUCGUCAAUGGUGGCGAGAUUUUUAUACAUCAACUCAUUCUUUAACUAAUUUGUCUGAAAAAUAUUAUGAAUACUUAAUUCAAAAUACAACUUUCAACAACGGAUCUCUUGGCUCUC